rnacentral:rRNA from 1 species
AUAACAUUGCACAGUGGAUCGCUUGGCUCGGGGGUCGAUGAAGAACGCAGCUAACUGCGCGUCGGAAUGUGAACUGCAGGAUAUAUGAGCAUCGACACUUUGGACGCAUAUUGCGGAACGGCGCUUGUCGUCUUUCCAUGUCUGGCUCAGGGUCGGUUAUACAUCCAUCC